CCUCAUGGUGGUGGUGGUGGUGUGUUACAGUUCUCUGCUUUAGCAGUCCAGGUUUGGGCCUCUUUAAGAGUGUUAUGAUGGCGCUCUUGUCGUCCACUUCUCCUCCAGGUUGAGUUCUGUGUAUCUGGAUCACUGUGCUAGUGCACUGCUGAUGCUUAAAGUUCCUUAGAGACACAGCUAUGGCCUGCUGAAUUGAACAGAAAGGCUGAUGGCAUUCCUGGCCUUGCUUUCUUAAAAGCUGUUGCUUAGUAUGGUGCUGUACAGUCAGUGCAAGAGGAACAAGGUCAGCCAGUUCUUCCUGUUCACAUAAAGCAUAAAUCCCCAAGUUGAUACCAUCAUGACAAACUUUGUGUUUUUGGUGAUGUCACUUUUUCUUGGGACAGCAUAUGCAGGACUGGCACAGGUUUUAGUUGUGUGUAGUCUAAAAGAACCUGACAAGAAGGCCUGCUACAUCUCUUUCCUUUUUACCAUUUUAAACUGCUGUAGAAGUGACUUGUGUAUAUGCCUGUUUUGUAGGUGAAGGUUUGAGAAGGCUGAUGCACCAAGUGGAAGAUGGACUUGAUGGUUGCCAUGUUUGCAUGAAAUCUGCAUUUGUAGCUUGUUCAGACCCUCAAGAUAGUGUGGGGUGGAACUUGGGCUAAAGUCGUUGUUUUUUUUUUUUUUCUGCUGUCUUUGACUCUUGACCUGAACAUUUUGAAGAAUAAACUUGAAUUUCAGUGUCCAUGAAA